AUUGAACGCUGGCGGCAUGCCUUACACAUGCAAGUCGAACGGCAGCAUGAUCUAGCUUGCUAGAUUGAUGGCGAGUGGCGAACGGGUGAGUAAUACAUCGGAACGUGCCCUGUAGUGGGGGAUAACUAGUCGAAAGAUUAGCUAAUACCGCAUACGACCUGAGGGUGAAAGUGGGGGACCGCAAGGCCUCAUGCUAUAGGAGCGGCCGAUGUCUGAUUAGCUAGUUGGUGAGGUAAAGGCUCACCAAGGCGACGAUCAGUAGCUGGUCUGAGAGGACGAUCAGCCACACUGGGACUGAGACACGGCCCAGACUCCUACGGGAGGCAGCAGUGGGGAAUUUUGGACAAUGGGCGAAAGCCUGAUCCAGCAAUGCCGCGUGUGUGAAGAAGGCCUUCGGGUUGUAAAGCACUUUUGUCCGGAAAGAAAUGGCUCUGGUUAAUACCUGGGGUCGAUGACGGUACCGGAAGAAUAAGGACCGGCUAACUAC
rnacentral:rRNA from 1 species